CAGUCGCCACGGGAAUACGUAGGGUGCGAGCGUCAAUCGGAAUUACUGGGCGUAAAGCGUGCGCAGGCGGUUUUGUAAGACAGGCGUGAAAUCCCCGGGCUCAACCUGGGAAUGGCGCUUGUGACUGCAAAGCUAGAGUGCGGCAGAGGGGGAUGGAAUUCCGCGUGUAGCAGUGAAAUGCGUAGAUAUGCGGAGGAACACCGAUGGCGAAGGCAAUCCCCUGGGCCUGCACUGACGCUCAUGCACGAAAGCGUGGGGAGCAAACAGGAUUAGAUACCCCAGUAGUCCCUGUCUCUUAUAC
rnacentral:rRNA from 1 species